rnacentral:rRNA from 1 species
GCGACAAGCGGAGGAGCAUGUGGUUUAAUUCGAUGAUACGCGAGGAACCUUACCUGGGCUCGAACGUAAGAUGACUGUAGGUGAAAGCUUACAUCUCUUCGGAGCAUUUUACGAGGUGCUGCAUGGUUGUCGUCAGCUCGUGCCGUGAGGUGUCGGGUUAAGUCCCAUAACGAGCGCAACCCCUACCUUAGUUGCCAUCAGGUUAAGCUGGGGACUCUAAAGGAACUGCCUACGCAAGUAGUGAGGAAGGCGGGGAUGACGUCAAAUCAGCACGGCCCUUACGUCCAGGGCUACACACGUGCUACAAUGGCCGAUACAGAGGGCAGCUACCUGGUGACAGGAUGCAAAUCUCCAAAGUCGGUCUCAGUUCGGAUCGGAGUCUGCAACCCGACUCCGUGAAGUUGGAUUCGCUAGUAAUCGCGCAUCAGCCAUGGCGCGGUGAAUACGUUCCCGGGCCUU